GGAGAGGUACCGAAGUGGCCAUAACGGCGCCGACUCGAAAUCGGAUGAACAGCAAUGUUACGUGGGUUCGAAUCCCACCCUCUCCG
rfam:Acidithiobacillus caldus SM-1, complete genome.